UAAUUGCCAAGAAGAAAAUGACCUCCCUGGCGUGGCCAGGGGCCAGUGCCGUGGCAUUGUGGCGGGGGCUCCCGGUGCCCGUGUGUUUGCUCGCACACUGCGAGCAUUCAGGCUCCGGGCACCGCAUUUCUCUCUCGAGUAAACUCCUCUGAAGUAAACACGCUCGCGGCAGGGAUGGAUUUGGCCUUGAGUGGCAAGGGACAGAGCCAAGCCAGCACUGUGCCAGCAAAGAUAAUGGAGCCAGGCUUGUGCCCAUCACCUCUGGUCCCAUCCUUGGGCAUUGCUGGACAGAACCUGGCUCCAUCUUCCUCAUGUACUGACAUACACUGAUCAGAUCACGCUUGCACCUCCUCUACUCUGAAUAAUUCCAGAAAGCAGAGGGGAAAAUCACAGGAUAAAUUGGAGCACAGGGAGCAGAAGUAAAAUAUGGAGUCAGGCUGAAGGACCAAUAAAGCAAAUGUGCAGCAAUGGU